rnacentral:rRNA from 1 species
UACGUAGGUCCCGAGCGUUGUCCGGAUUUAUUGGGCGUAAAGCGAGCGCAGGUGGUUUAUUAAGUCUGGUGUAAAAGGCAGUGGCUCAACCAUUGUAUGCAUUGGAAACUGGUAGACUUGAGUGCAGGAGAGGAGAGUGGGAUUCCAUGUGUAGCGGUGAAAUGUGUAGAUAUAUGGAGGAACACCGGUGGCGAAAGCGGCUCUCUGGCCUGUAACUGACACUGAGGCUCGAAAGCGUGGGGAGCAAACAGG